GACGAACGCUGGCGGCGUGCUUAACACAUGCAAGUCGAACGGAAAGGCCCUGCUUUUGUGGGGUGCUCGAGUGGCGAACGGGUGAGUAACACGUGAGUAACCUGCCCUUGACUUUGGGAUAACUUCAGGAAACUGGGGCUAAUACCGGAUAGGAGCUCCUGCUGCAUGGUGGGGGUUGGAAAGUUUCGGCGGUUGGGGAUGGACUCGCGGCUUAUCAGCUUGUUGGUGGGGUAGUGGCUUACCAAGGCUUUGACGGGUAGCCGGCCUGAGAGGGUGACCGGCCACAUUGGGACUGAGAUACGGCCCAGACUCCUACGUGAGGCAGCAGUGGGGAAUAUUGCACAAUGGGCGGAAGCCUGAUGCAGCAACGCCGCGUGCGGGAUGACGUCCUUCGGGUUGUAAACCGCUUUCGCCUGUGACGAAGCGUGAGUGACGGUAAUGAGUAAAGAAGCACCGGCUAACUACGUG
rnacentral:rRNA from 1 species